rnacentral:rRNA from 1 species
UACAGAGGGUGCAAGCGUUAUUCGGAUUUACUGGGCGUAAAGGGCGCGUAGGCGGUCUAGUUAGUCUGUUGUGAAAGCCCUGGGCUUAAUCCAGGAAGUGCAGCGGAUACUACUAGGCUCGAGUGCAGGAGAGGAGGACGGAAUUCCCGGUGUAGAGGUGAAAUUCGUAGAUAUCGGGAGGAACAACAGAAGCGAAGGCGGUUCUCUGGACUGUAACUGACGCUGAGGCGCGAAAGCGUGGGGAGCAAAC